rnacentral:rRNA from 1 species
GAUGAACGCUGGCGGCGUGCCUAAUGCAUGCAAGUCGAACGCACUGCCUUCGGGCAGUGAGUGGCGCACGGCUGAGGAACACGUGGGAAUCUGCCCGACCGUGGGGGAUAACACGCCGAAAGGCGUGCUAAGCCCGCAUACGCUCGCAAGAGGAAAGCGGCAACGCGCGGUCGGAGGAGCCUGCGGCCCAUCAGGUAGUCGGCGGGGUAACGGCCCACCGAGCCGGUGACGGGUAGCUGGUCUGUGAGGACAGACAGCCAGACUGGGACUGAGACACGGCCCAGACUCCUACGGGAGGCAGCAGCAAGGAAUUUUCGGCAAUGGGCGCAAGCCUGACCGAGCAACGCCGCGUGGAGGACGACGGCCUUCGGUUGUAACGUACCUUUUCGUCGGGGUACGGAGUUGUGACUGUACCCGCCGAACUCAGGCUCGGCUAA